GUGGAGCCUGACUACUGGUCAGCAAAGGAGUCAAGUCCUGAUUGGUAGCAUGCGCUGGGGGUAGGUUCUCUAGGGUGGGGCCUUGCUAUGCUACAGAAACUGCUGGCUUACCUAGCGGGGCUGCUGGUUUGCAGGAGGGCAGGUCUUCCUUAGGGGAUUUCCUCAGGCUCAGAGCCCUGCCGCAGGCCCCUCUGGCUGCUUCUUCCCUCCAACCUUGUUACCCUUCCACCUCAGUGAGACAGACCUUUCCUGUAGACUCUCUCCAGUCAUGGACAUUUGAGCCUAAGGCAUCAGUGGGACCUGAAUACAGCAUGCAAGACAUUGCCACCUCCUCAAUACAUAUGAAACCAGCAGCAGGCAAGAAUUGCAACCUUGGCUGAACUACAAGAAGGCUCAAGAAAUCCAUACUGCAGCACGUUCCAAGAUGAAAUUCCAAAACAGAAUGAAAUAUUUCCUGGUGCAAAAGACCCUCAGUGGACCAAGAAAUUUGCUUGGAACCAAAGAAACCAGAUGAGAAAACUGAGGCUUGGAGAGGUUCAGUGACUUGCCA